UGUUUAAUUAAAACAAAGCAUUGUGAGGACUCUAAACGGGUUCUGACACGAUGUGAUUUCUGCCCAGUGCUCUGAAUGUCAAAGUGAAGAAAUUCAAUGAAGCGCAGGUAAACGGUGGGAGUAACUAUUACUCUCUCAGCACACCCCGGAGUCACUGGAACAA
rnacentral:ncRNA from 1 species